CUAGACUGAUAGGAUUCAAACCUACGAAACUUUAGUUAACAGCUAAACACCCAACAACUGGCUUCAAUCUA
ensembl:Mt_tRNA